GAUGAAGAACGCAGCGAAAUGCGAUAAGUAAUGCGAAUUGCAGAAUUCAGUGAGUCAUCGAAUCUUUGAACGCACAUUGCGCCCUGUGGUAUUCCGCAGGGCAUGCCUGUUCGAGCGUCAUUUCAACCCUCAAGCUCUGCUUGGUGUUGGGCCCUGCCCGCUGCGGCCGGCCCUAAAGACAGUGGCGGUGCCGCCUGGCCCUGAGCGUAGUACAUCUCUCGCUCCAGUGCCCGGUGGUAGCCUGCCAGAACCCCAACUCUCGUGGUUGACCCCGGAUCAGGUAGGGAUACCCGCUGAACUUAAGCAUAUCAAUAAGCGGAGGA
rnacentral:misc_RNA from 1 species